rnacentral:tRNA from 1 species
GCUGGUAUAGCUCAAUGGUAGAGCAAUCGCCUCGUAAGCGAUUGAUUCGAGUUCGAUUCUCGGUUCCAGCACCA